rfam:Ajellomyces capsulatus NAm1 scaffold_8 genomic scaffold, whole genome shotgun sequence.
UCCUCGAUGGUCUAGUGGUCAUGAUUUCCGCUUGUCAUCGGCAAAGUUGUCAAGCGCGGGAGACCAGGGUUCGAUUCUCUGUCGGGGAG